UACGUAGGGUGCAAGCGUUGUCCGGAAUUAUUGGGCGUAAAGAGCUCGUAGGCGGCCUGUUGCGUCGGCUGUGAAAACCCGGGGCUCAACCCCGGGCCUGCAGUCGAUACGGGCAGGCUAGAGUCCGGCAGGGGAGACUGGAAUUCCUGGUGUAGCGGUGAAAUGCGCAGAUAUCAGGAGGAACACCAAUGGCGAAGGCAGCACUCUGGUACAUGACUGACGCUGAGACGCGAAAGCGUGGGGAGCAAACAGG
rnacentral:rRNA from 1 species